GACAUCCCAACCUCACAAGCUGCUCUGAAGUCGGGGUGGCCUUGUAGGGGUGUCCUAGAUGGGUGUGAGAAGUGAAGCUAUACCUUACCAGCCCUGAAUACAAGCUAGAACAGGACAUGAUUGGGGCUUCCAGGACUUUAGCUGAAGCACUUUCCGGAAGAAGCCUGGCAGAUGCAGUGUGGCCAGUUCUUUCAAGUUUUUGCCACCGUGACUCCCUUUGCUAUGAGAAAGUAUAACCUUGGGAUUGUGAGCUCGAAGAAGCCCUUCCUUUCCUGAAUUUCUUCUGUCAAGAAGUCUACAUGCCUCAGGCAGCAAGAUGAUGACGGAGUGGGUACCGGUGCAUUCCACUGAGCCUGAGGACCUGAGUUCGACCCCUCGUGCUUACGUGAGAGAGGCAGGAAACUGACUCCUACAAGCUGUCCCACAAACGGCCCCUGACACAUAAUAAAAGUCAAAAGUUCCUUUAAAAGUCAUUUCAUGCCCCUUUGAUCGUCUAGGGAGAAAAAGGAGAAGUGUUCCCCUUGGAUAAAGUUUCAUUAUUCCUAUUUUCCCCCUCCUUAUAAGGAUGGAGUAAACUUCCUUCAAUUUGGCAAGCAACAUAUACUCCACAAUUCGCAAAUAAUAAGCAAAAUUUGUUACAUGAGCAUCUGGUACUUUAAACUGGUGUGUGAGUCUCAGUUAACAAUAGGGAAUAUUUGUAUUCUGUGAAAUUACAAAAAAGCUCAGUUUUGAGCAGAGCGCUAAUAAAUAUGUACAAAAGUUUA